GCCUGCGUGGCCUAAUGGAUAAGGCGUCUGACUUCUAAUCAGAAGACUGCCGGUUCGACCCNCUCUGAAUGCG
rnacentral:tRNA from 1 species